rnacentral:sRNA from 1 species
GCCGGGUGUAGUGGUGGGCACCUGUAAUCCCAGCUACUCAGGAGGCUGAGGCAGGAGAAUCACUUGAAUCCAGGAGGCAGAGGCUGCAGUGAGCUGUGAUUGUGCCACUGCACUCCCGCCUGGGCGACAGAGUGAGACUCCGUCUCAA